rnacentral:ncRNA from 2 species
GAGGAACCCGGUGAGAGUCCGGGGCGGUCCCGCCACUGUCACCGGAGAGCUGGGUCCGAUGCCGCCUCCGCGGGAGGGAGUGGGUCGGCGCACCUCUCCGGGAGCCAGGAACUC